rnacentral:rRNA from 1 species
GUGUCAGCCGCCGCGGUAAUACGUAAGGACCGAGCGUUGUCCGAAAUCAUUGGGCGUAAAGGGUACGUAGGCGGCCAGAAAAGUUAGAGGUCAAAGGCUAUAGCUCAACUAUAGUAAGCUUCUAAAACUAUUUAGCUUGAGAGAUGGAAGGGAAAGUGGAAUUCCUAGUGUAGCGGUGGAAUGCGCAGAUAUUAGGAGGAAUACCGGUGGCGAAGGCGACUUUCUGGCCAUUUUCUGACGCUGAGGUACGAAAGCGUGGGUAGCAAACAGGAUUAGAAACCCUAGUAGUCC